ACUUUAUUCUGUCGCCUCCAUUCACGGCCAGUGCGUUUAAAGUGCAGUCAUUUCACAGCUUCAGUAAAAACAGCAAACCUAAAAUAUCUAACUGAACAAUGGAAACGUGGAGAAUAUAAAUAUCUAGAGAACAAAAGGAAAGCUCAGUGAAACAGGUAAGCGAUGGCCACACAAACUCGUUGGCAAGGCUAGCGUAAAACAAAGGCACAGCAAUGUGGAGGUAAAACCAUCGCUUCCAGAAGGAAAAGCUGCAGCAUUCUGUCACCAGAUCAAGCUCUGGCUUCCUCAGCACUUUCUCAUUGAUGCGUAUGAGUUUGACAGAUAUGAACGAUGACAUGACGUGACCCUCUUCAACAGCAGCGGGACCCUGAGCUAGACUUCCAUGAACAUCUCGAGCUAGACUACAGUGUUUAAGUGCUGUGUGUGUGAGUGAGUGUGAGUGUGUGUGUGUGUGUGUGUGUGUGUGCCAGCAGAGGAAUGACAGCUACUUUAUACAGCACUGCUUCACAGGACAUUUCUGGUAGUUUUUGGUUACAGGAACUAUGGACUCAUAAUCAAUUCUCUAAAAUGGCUUUCAUAGUAAUAUGGCUUUAUGUUAAUGGAAAUAAUGAUAUUAUUGAUAUCUGAUAUGAUCAACAGGGCUUCAAGUCAACAUGAAAUGAAAAUUAAGCCUAUUUAUUGUCUUCGUAAACCAAGCUUAACCGGACUUGACAACAGUGUUUGUCUGUAUGAAAACAUUGACAUCAGCUAGACUGUGCGGGAUACGGAUUCAUAUCAAACAACAGCCAAAUAUCUCUUUAGAAACGGUCAAACUAGUACUGAUAGUGUGAACAGUCAUUUAACUGCAUAUCAGUAACAGCACUGGAAUCAGACCUCAUGUUUUUUCUGUCCGUGACACAUCUGCUGCUCAGGAGCCGCGG